GUAGGCUGGCCUUGUGCCUAAAUUAGAAACAAUUAUUGUUACUUUGACAAGGAAAAGUGAAAAUUUUUAUAAAGUGUACAGAGGAGUAGUCAUUGAAAUCAACUCCAAUGUAUUAUUUUAUUGAUAGUUGAAAAAAAAAAAUUAACCCCAAUAAGGUUUAAACUUAGAAAGAAGCAAAACGAAGCACCGUAUGAUAUUUUAAUCUGGUGUUCUACCAUUUCUGUCGGCUCACUGUCCUUGAGGACAUAGUAAUAUAAAGCUGUCUGAUUUUGAAAA